rnacentral:rRNA from 1 species
GACGAACGCUGGCGGCGUGCCUAAUACAUGCAAGUAGAACGCUGAAGGAGGAGCUUGCUCUUCUGGAUGAGUUGCGAACGGGUGAGUAACGCGUAGGUAACCUGCCUGGUAGCGGGGGAUAACUAUUGGAAACGAUAGCUAAUACCGCAUAAGAGUAGAUGUUGCAUGACAUUUACUUAAAAGGUGCAAUUGCAUCACUACCAGAUGGACCUGCGUUGUAUUAGCUAGUUGGUGGGGUAACGGCUUACCAAGGCGACGGUACAUAGCCGACCUGAGAGGGGGGUCGGCCACACUGGGACUGAGACACGGCCCAGACUCCUACGGGAGGCAGCAGGAGGGGAUCUUCGGCAAAGGACGGAAGUCUGACCGAGCAACGCCGCGUGAGUGAAGAAGGUUUUCGGAUCGUAAAGCUCUGUUGUAAGAGAAGAACGAGUGUGAGAGUGGAAAGUUCACACUGUGACGGUAUCUUACCAGAAAGGGACGGCUAACUACGUG